AAACCGUUUCCCAUUCAUUCUCUAUGGUAGUGCUAAACCACUACGGAUGUAAUAUAUCUUUGGCCACUACGGUCUUCCGGCGCUGUUGCGAGUUUGAGAUGCGGCGGCACUUUUAAAAAAUCUCCUCUUUUACGAGAAAACAAGUAACUCACCGCUCGCAACACAUCUCAACGAUCCUCGUUCAUUGAUCAAAGAUGCAGAAGAAAAUUGCGCCAUAUCCAGGGAAAAUCUCUGUGGCAUUCCGCAAGGGGCCACUUGGAUACCUUCCCCGGGACUCGUCAAAAGAAGCUCGGCGGAUUAAAAAUGUCCCCGAGCUUCAGGACAAGUCUGCACCUGUGAGGGAGGACGAUGCUCUGACUGUCAUCUAUCAGAGAGGAGGGGAUGCCUCUGACAUGAAGGAAGUGCAGGGAGAGUACAUCCUGCAGUUUGGAAAGUAUAAAGGGAAAUCUUUCCAGUGGCUUCUGGAGAAUGAAUGUCGGGUACACCAUGUACCUGAUCAAAGAUCUCCAGAAGCAAGAGGCUGCAGGGACCUCUGUGGAAGAAGGACAUGGCAAGGAGAGCUUGCAUUCAUUUGUACAGUAUGCCCUCAGCUUUACAGAGAUAAAAACUCUUCUGAACUACGAGGCCAGCAGAGUGAGUGUUGGAGCAGAAGCCUCUGAGGAUGAUCAGCUGGUUGGCUUUGGCUCAUGAGCCAAGAGCACCUGGAAGGAGAUUUGGGGUGGCAGAGGUGACGGCUAUGGAGACUUUAUCACGAGGAAGAGCUGCAGUCAAGGAACACGGAUGCAUAAGCUGCAGCAGUACGUGCGGAAGAAGCAGCAGUCUGUGUCUGCUUCCACAAAUGCUCCAACUAAACCCCUGGGGAUGGAUGAGGAUAAAGACCUGGAGGACGCAAUGCUGAGCAUCUCACCUGUAAAACUACACAUGCAGAGCUUCACUGUGCCAGCAGCAGCAGAAGGGUCCACACCCAGAGGAUCUUCAGGAGCAAACACAGGUUUUCAAAUGAAAGGUUUCAGAACUGGAGUAAAAUAGUUUUACAUGAAUUGCUCUCCAAAGCUGAGCCUGAACUUUUAUAUAUUGUCUUGUUCUUGUUUUUGUGUGUUCUGGCCACGUUCCGGCGAUGUUCCUCUAAUAGUAUAGUUGUAUGCUGGCUGUAUGGUGGAAGAAAACAGUAAAUAAGGGAGAAACAGUUGAUUUUGUACAUAAGACAGUUUUGUUCUAGUUGUGAAUGUUUCUUUUGUUUAUAUAAAUAAA